rnacentral:pre_miRNA from 1 species
CAACUAGUCCCUCUGUCCCAAAUUUCUUGUCUUAGAUUUGUCUAGAUACAGAUGUAUCUAAUACUAAAAUGUGACUUGAUACAUCUGUAUCUAGACAAAUCUAAGACAAGAAUUUUAGGAUGGAGGGAGUACCUU